rnacentral:tRNA from 1 species
GCGGGCGUGGCGAAACUGGUAGACGCAAGGGACUUAAAAUCCCUCGGCCUUAGGCCUUACGGGUUCGAUCCCCGUCGCCCGCA